CGCGUUGGUAGUGUUGGGGAUACAUCGAAAUUCUAUAGAUACUAGAUAUAUCGUAUCGGAGUAUUGGCGUAUCGUCGAUAUAUCGGUGUAUCGGAUCGUAGAUGGUUAGAAUUGUGCGUUUGGAUUGUUGCAAUUGAAAUACCCGUUUAGCUCAAUGGUACGGUCUAGCGCUUCUGAGCUAUGUGAUUCUGUCAUUCUGAGUUCAGUGUUCCAGUCUCGCAUCAGAAUGCAUACAAAUACUAAAUUUUCUUAUGAUAAAGUAAUUGAAUAAUACAAUAGAGUUCCUCUUCACAGAAACACGAAUCUUCGAUCUAAUUGUUUUCUGAAAUAUCGGUAUUGAUUAGACAAUUUUCAGUGGUUUUAUAUUCUAUAACAAGGUAUAACACAGUCGGUUUGGGUGGUUGGUAUAAUCUGUGACUGCGAAUUGUAACAUUGAAAAUAGUAGGUUCUAUUCACAGGAAGUGAUUUUUACUUAUGUUUUUUUUUUAUUUCUCUUUUUUUUUGUAUCGGAAUGUAUCGAUAAAUCUGAAUUCAUGUCUUUCGUAGUUAACCACCAGUUUUUUGUAGGGGAUGGCUCAGUGGUACAGUAGUGCACAGCGAACUGGUAGUCUGAUGUUCGAUUCCAUAAACAUGCUCAUUUUGAGAUGUCAGUAGGAAUCAUAAGCAAAAUCUUUUUUGAAAUAAAUAUUUUAAUUUAAAAAUAUAUUUCGAAUCAUCGGUAUCGGUAUUUUUCAUGAAAUAUUGAUCUGCCUUAUUGCAAUUUAUGUAUCGUUUUCCUGGCUAGUUGGUAUAAUCUUAGACUGUGGUUGCAUAUACCCGGAGUUCAAAUCCGAGAAAAUUAGAUUUGAUAUUUUUGCUUUCUGAAUUUUGUUUUUGUUUUCCAUAUCAGAAUUAUCGACAAACCUAAAAUUGUGUAUUUUUUAGAUUGUAAAACAAAUUUAGCUUGGGUGGUUGGUAUAAUCUGUGACUGCGAAUUGUAACGUUGAAAGUAGUAGGUUCUAUUCACAGGAAGUGAUUUUUACUUAUGUUUUUUUUUAUUUCUCUUUUUUUGUAUCGGAAUGUAUCGAUAAAUCUGAAUUCAUGUCUUUCGUAGUUUACCACUAGUUUUUUUGUAGGGAAUGGCUCAGUGGUACAGAAGUGCACAGCGAAAACUGGUAGUCUGAUGUUCGAUUCCAUAAACAUGCUCAUUUUGAGAUGUCAGUAGGAAUCAUAAGCAAAAUCUUUUUUGAAAUAAAUAUUGCAAUUGAAAAAUAUAUUUCGAAUCAUCGGUAUCGGUAUUCUUCAUGAAAUUUUCAUCUGCCUUAUUGUAAAUUAUUUAUCGUUAUUAUGGUUAGUUGGUAUAAUCUUGGCCUGUGGGUGCAUAUUCCCGUAGUUCGAAUCCGGAAAUAUACAUUUUGGUUUUUUUGCUUUCUGAAUUUUUUUUUGUUUUCCGUAUCGGAAUUAUCGACAAACCUAAUACCAUAUCUUUUUUAGUUUGUAAAAUUAAUUUUAGUAAAAAUGGCAUAUCUGUUUGUAAGCGGGGAGUGGAUUUGUGGUCCGGGGCUCUAUUCUUGAAGAGAAUACUAAUACUACUAAAUAUAUACUAAUACUAAAUAAAAGCAAUGAAAACAUCUAUUAAUAAAUUUGCGAAUGUCAUAAUUAAAUAAUGUUUUGAAGUUUCGAAGAUAAAUUUUUAAAAUUGAAACAGAACUGUUUAUUAAUAUUAUGUGUUGUUUUGCAAAAGUUAAAUAGAAAUUCUGGAGCAUUGGUUCGAUCUGCGACUGGAAACAUGUACAUUAAGGGUUCAAAUCCGAAGAUGGAUUUUGUUUUUGAUUUUCUUUGUUUUCAAUAUUUUCCAUUUGCUCCUCGUAUCGAUACGUAUCGAUAUAUUGAACUUCAUCUCGUCCUAACUUCCCACUGAAUGAACAUGUAGUGGUGGCAAAAUGGUAUGGUGCCGGAUAGUGACACGGUAGUUGAUGGUUCAAAUCCCAAGAUUUUCGAGGAAAUGGACAUGUAAUAUUUCUGCUAGGUUGUUUUGUUAAAGAUAUCUGUACUGGAGGAUGAAGAGGAGGAUUCGUCAUAAAUCGGCAAUAAAAGUGUAUCUAUUAUACUAUAUAUUAUAUUGCCGCUUAUCGAGUUUUUAUUUCCACCGCUAGAUGGCGCUGAUCCGAUAUUCAGAUACAUCGGAAUCGGAUCGUAUCGAUAUCGAAUAUCUAAAAUUAUAGAUACAUCGCUGUAUCGGUAUCGGUAUCCCCAACACUACGCGUUGGCUGAGAUUAAAUUGGUCAAUGGCGGCAUGGCGGCAUGGCGGCGACGCGCAUUGGAACUUGGAAGUGGAUUCAUCAUGCAUGUGCGACAUGAUGUGGCGUUGCAUGUGGGAGCCCUGGGAGGCCCCGUUGACUGGUCUUUGAUGAUACGUGUGCACAGUGGUAGUGCUUGGGUUCCUCAAGAGGGAAUCGCAGAACAUAGCCAUAGAGCUAAACAGUAGUAUGUCCUUCAACAAUCUGUUGCGUCCAACCAUGGGAUGAGUCACAUGCAAGCCUAAGUCAACCAAACAGGGCAUCAAUAAUUGGUCAGCAAUGAAAUUAGUCAGUGGAAAACAACACAUUCAUUCCUGAGGAUUGUUUUGAGAUUAUCUAUGCUUAUUUUAUGUUUAAUUUUUAUUGUUAUUAUUUUUAAAUUAAUAUCUGAAGUUUUUCUUUAGCAUGAUUGAAAUUUGCCAUGUUUCCAGGUCAAUUGGAAGGAUUCCUUUUUUUCACAGAACUUUACCAUUUUCAUGGUAUACUUAAUUGCUUUUCGGUGGAUUGUCACUUGGCAUCAUUUGAAUGUGUUUGCAUUUCUUCAGGUAUGAUCCAUAUCAGCAGUGUUAUGAUGCACUUCUUAAAUACACCAAUCCAUGGAAAUAUUCUAAUUGAAAUUAUGGAAAUUUCUGCCCUUCUUGCAGAACUGCACAAUGAUGGGUUUGUAUAAACAAGCUUGAAAUAACAAACCAACAGUAUUUUUGGUUUGUCUCCCACAUACAACUCUAUGACAUGUUGAUGUUAGCUAAAUUGUUAUUAAUCCUAGGACUAGGUAGUACGAAUUGAAAUAUCUUCUCUCGGAAGUUUGGGUCUGAAUUUGUUUGAGAUGCCUCUUGAGGCAGGAAGCUUUUUCCUGCUUCUUACAAAAAGGGACAUUGGAUGCCUUGAUGUCUAAUACCAACCAAGUGUCAUUGCAAAGAUAGGUAAAAAAUAUAUCAAUAUAGAUUAUACUCUGAGUGAUGGUGACAUGGUAAUAAGAGAGCAGUAUAAAUAUUUGCUCCAUCGUUUAGUUCUAUUAUUUUAUCUUCAAGGUAUCUUAUUGACUUCUAUUGGUUUUAUUUGUGGAAAGAAUAUCUUGAGCGGGAGAAUUGGUUGGUGGACUAAAUGUUUUACUAUUUUAAAUGAGUUUAUCAUUAAGAAUUUUUUACUCAUUCAUGUUCUGUUUCUGUAAGUAGGUAGAACAAUCGCAAUGUCGUGGUAGUAAUUCGCGAGAGAUAUGCCAAUAGGGUUUCACUGUUUUCAAUUUGCAAUCGUAAUGGAUUCGAAGGGGAUAUUGAUGGCGUUUUGGUAUAAAAAAGCAUAAGUACAUGUUCGUUGGAAGGGCAACCGAAGAGUUCUAGAUCCUUUUACUAUCGCACAUGUCAUGGUAUUUUUACAAAAUCAUUGAAGUGCUUAUCUGGACCUUCUUGUUUUCUGUGGCCCCGUUUCCCCUUGACUUAUAUUAUUUUCUUUAACCCUUUAGUGCGUGUAAAACUAAAGGCUAAAAGAAGAAGAAUGAUUCAAAAAUUGUGUGAGAGAAUCAUCAAAGAAUUAUACUCGUUUAGGUAAUCCAAGGAAAUAAGAAAGAUUAUUAUCUCGG